rnacentral:rRNA from 1 species
GAUGAACGCCGGCGGCGUGCCUAACACAUGCAAGUCGAACGAAGCAAUCGGAGGAAGUUUUCGGAUGGAAUCUGAUUGACUGAGUGGCGGACGGGUGAGUAACGCGUGGAUAACCUGCCUCACACUGGGGGAUAACAGUUAGAAAUGACUGCUAAUACCGCAUAAGCGCACGCUACCGCAUGGUAGCGUGUGAAAAACUCCGGUGGUGUGAGAUGGAUCCGCGUCUGAUUAGCCAGUUGGCGGGGUAACGGCCCACCAAAGCGACGAUCAGUAGCCGACCUGAGAGGGUGACCGGCCACAUUGGGACUGAGACACGGCCCAAACUCCUACGGGAGGCAGCAGUGGGGAAUAUUGCACAAUGGGCGAAAGCCUGAUGCAGCGACGCCGCGUGAGUGAAGAAGUAUUUCGGUAUGUAAAGCUCUAUCAGCAGGGAAGAAAAUGACGGUACCUGACUAAGAAGCCCCGGCUAACUACGUGCCAGCAGCCGCGGUAAUACGUAGGGGGCAAGCGUUAUCCGGAUUUACUGGGUGUAAAGGGAGCGUAGACGGCGAAGCAAGUCUGAAGUGAAAACCCAGGGCUCAACCCUGGGAGUGCUUUGGAAACUGUUUUGCUAGAGUGUCGGAGAGGUAAGUGGAAUUCCUAGUGUAGCGGUGAAAUGCGUAGAUAUUAGGAGGAACACCAGUGGCGAAGGCGGCUUACUGGACGAUAACUGACGUUGAGGCUCGAAAGCGUGGGGAGCAAACAGG